GGAGACAACAGGUCGGAUUCCUCCAUUUGGAAGUGAUUGAACUGCAUAUCCCUUACAUACCAACUGCCAAGCCAGGGUCACUGUUCAUGGUCUGAACGAUUUCCAUGCCCUGGGGUUGUAUAGUAAAGAAAAAGCUGUGAUGCAGGCUUACCAUCUGAGUCCUUCUGAUUGGGAUUGGGUACCAGGCGGCAGUUAUCGGGACCAGGAGGCACAUAAUCUGGGAUGCCAUCAUUGUCAUCAUCCCCAUCACACUCAUCUCCAAGUCCAUCGUUAUCAGAGUCCAGCUGGGAGCUAUUUGGCAGCUGUGGGCAGUUGUCCUUGGUGUCCUGAUGCCCAUCCCCAUCGCUAAUCAGAAGAACAGGUUGGUGAAAGUCCCGAACUUUGUCUCCCCACCCAGAGGACAACUGGCCAGGAAAUCUGCCUGUUUCUUGUCUCACCCUCUAGUCCACACUCUGCCUAACACUACGCCCUACCUCACAUUCCUAUUGACAUCUGCUGCAGGUAAUCUCUCCUCACCCAGGCCAACGUCCACAAGCCUGCCUCCCUAUUUCACAGAGACUUCCUAGCUUCCCUGCUUCAUCCCCACCUGAUCCAAAUUCUCACAGGUCCCCCAGCCACCCCUUCAGCCCCAGGCCUGCACCAUCCCCAUCCACGUCGUUGUCACAGGCAUCUCCUUCCCCAUUGCCAUCUGUGUCCUUCUGGUCAUUGUUGGGAACGUUGGGGCAAUUGUCACAGGCAUCACCAAAUGAAUCUGUAUCUGA
rnacentral:lncRNA from 1 species